rnacentral:rRNA from 1 species
CCCUUAGAUGUCCUGGGCUGCACGCGCGCUACACUGAUGUGUCCAGUAAGCACCUAACCUCUUCCGAAAGGAACGGGUAACCUUUGCAAAGCACAUCGUGAUGGGGAUAGAUUAUUGCAAUUAUUAGUCUUGAACGAGGAAUUCCUAGUAAGCACAAGUCAUCAGCUUGUGUUGAUUACGUCCCUGCCCUUUGUACACAUCGCCCGUCGCUCCUACCGAUUGAAUGUUCCGGUGAGCUCUUCGGACUGCGCGGUCUGCAGUUUCUGCGUUCCGUGCGGAAAGUUGCGCAAACCUUAACAUUUAGAGGAAGGAGAAGUCGUAACA